GCCGAUGUCGCAUAACCAGGUAGUGUGUCUGAUUUAGAAUCAGAUGACUCGCCAGAGUCUUGCGGGUUCGAAUCCCGCCAUCGGCG
rnacentral:tRNA from 1 species